AUCGAGCUGACGAGUCCCAUUUAGGGCGAAACGCACGUCCUGGAU
rnacentral:hammerhead_ribozyme from 1 species